UAACUCAUAUUUGAGUAAUCACAGUUACCCAUAUUUGGGUGAAAAAUUGAACAUAAACAAAUUCGAGCUGAUGGCCGUACGUCAAUAAUUGAUUAUUAAUGUCGCAAUCACUGGAAGUUUUUUUUAAAAGUUUUUCCCGCAUAUUAGAUCCUAAUGACCAAAACGAGAACCAAUUUGAUUCCGGGCGCAGUAAGUUCCGAUGUUCCGACUCUCAGGUUCCGACCAGCAGCAACCGGCAGCGCCAUAUCGACCUCAUCACGCACAUGCGGCGAUCGACGAUUGUACAGUAGACAGCAAGAAUGGAAACUGAUUCUUGAACCAUCGGUGGAGAGCGCUCACAGCUGUGAGUCGCUGACCGGAAAGGCUUUGAUGUUCAUAACAGGUACCAGUCUGAACUAUAAAUCCUCCAGCAACCGUUUCGGUUUGGCUAUUGGAAGCUCUCGGCCUGUCGGCCAUUCGACGCGCCCAAAAUUGCAUGUCUCACGAACUCAAAUUCGGAAGACCUCUGCUGCGCUAGUGAAAAUAACAACGACACUCAACUUAUCAAUGGAUCUUAACGCCGACAGGUGUCAACUGACCAAAGAGACGGAAUAAAUCCAGAUAGAGGCCAUUCAAGAUAGAGCAAACGCAAAUGGAAGACGGAUCGUAAGCGCGGAAGGGGAUGCUGAUUUAUUUUUGUACCAGGAACAAAUUUGUUUUGAUGAUAUUCAAUGCUGCAUCUAAAAUAAUUUCCGGAUUGUAGAGUGUUGACUUGAUUGAUGUUUUUGCAAUCUGUGCCGUUAAAAAUUGAUUGGUACAACAUCCGGCAUAGUUACCACCUGGAAAGCUGCCACCAGUUACGGAAAAAUCUCCUCAUCCGUAGUUGAUGCUUGUCAGUUAACUUGUUCUUAGAUGCUUGCUGCGAAGGACUCUUCUAUAUUAAACACGGAGCUUCUGCUAAGUGAUGUAUCGGACCAUCCGGGAUUACUUCCUUCGGGUUCUGCUGCUGGUAAUACAGCACCAGCCAAGCAUCCAGCAUCAUGGAAGAUAGAGAAAUGGAUCACUCUUUUAUGAAAAUGUAAAUUUAAAUAUAUACAUAAAUAAAUACAAUA